CACCAGGGCUUCUUAUUAAUAUGCACAUGCUGAUUUAGGAGGUUGGGGUAGGGGCCUGCGAUUCUGCAUUUCUAACAAGCUCCCAGGUGAUGCUGAUUCUGCUGGUCUAAGACAAACCUUGUGAAUAACAA
rnacentral:pre_miRNA from 1 species